rnacentral:rRNA from 1 species
UACGUAGGGUGCAAGCGUCAAUCGGAAUUACUGGGCGUAAAGCGUGCGCAGGCGGUUAUGCAAGACAGAUGUGAAAUCCCCGGGCUCAACCUGGGAACUGCAUUUGUGACUGCAUGGCUAGAGUACGGUAGAGGGGGAUGGAAUUCCGCGUGUAGCAGUGAAAUGCGUAGAUAUGCGGAGGAACACCGAUGGCGAAGGCAAUCCCCUGGACCUGUACUGACGCUCAUGCACGAAAGCGUGGGGAGCAAACAGG